rnacentral:misc_RNA from 1 species
GAUGAAGAACGCAGCGAAAUGCGAUAAGUAAUGUGAAUUGCAGAAUUCAGUGAAUCAUCGAAUCUUUGAACGCACCUUGCACCCUUUGGCAUUCCGAAGGGUAUGCUCGUUUGAGUGUCAUUGUACUCUCACUCUCCCGAUGCUUUUGGAUCGGGAGUGGUGGACUUGGGUGUUGCUGCUUUGCUGUGGCUCGCCUCAAAUGGAGUAAUGCAACUCUUGGUUGGACAUAGUACGGCGUGAUAAGUGUCUUCGCCGGCGCCUCAUUAUAGAGGGUGGCCGAUCGGGAGCUCUGUGCUUCAAACCGUCUUCGGACAACAUCUGACAACUUGACCUCAAAUCGAGUAGGACUACCCGCUGAACUUAAGCAUAUCAAUAAGCGGAGGA